ensembl:lncRNA
UGAACUAUUACAUCAGAUAAACAAAACCUGCAGCUAUCGUUGAGAGACAUCUUCACGCUUCAUCUUGUUUUGUUUGUGUACAGCCUGCGCGUGCGCGAAAUGUGUUUUGCGGCAGGUCCCGUCGCAUGACAUUUUUGACAAGUUUGUAUGUUGCCCAACCAAAAGCCCUGGUGUACAGGGCAGUUGUCCGCGAAGACUCCUCAAAGAACGCAAUGCUGCCUUCAGAUCCAGAGACACCGCGGCUGUAAGAGCCAGUCUGAAGAGAGGCAUCAGAGAUGCCAAAGCAGCUCACAAGAGGAGGAUUGGGACCACUUCAACAACAACAAGCCACGGAUGGCGUGGCAGAGCAUUCAGCAGAUCACUAGUUACAGAGGCAACAGUAGCAACGCUGCAGAUGGUGACACUUCACAGGCAGAGCACCUCAACUGUUUCUCUGUCCGCUUUGAGGUCUACAGAAAAUGCCAUCAAGCACUGCUCUCCACAGUCCACUGUCCCACCUUGAACACCAGGGGAGCUACAUUAUGGACUUCCUGACCAACCGGCCUCAAAGAGGGAGAAUAGGCGCACUCAUCUCCUCCCAACUCCCACUCAGCGCUGGCGCCCCUCAGGGCUGUGUACUGAGUUCCCUGCUAUAUUCUCUUUCAAUUACGGCUGUACCACCACCUACCCUACCGACACCCUCGUCAGGUAUGCGGACCACACAACCAUUGUUUGUCCCAUCUCAGGGGGGAGGAGGAGGUCCGCAGACUGGUGGGGUGGUGCAAGGUCAACAACCUCAUCCUGAACACUUCCAAGACAAAGGAAAUAAUCAUGGACUUUCAUAGGAAAAGGGCAGACACGGAACCGCACCACAUUAACUGGGAAUGUGUGGAGAUGGUUCCUGUCUUCAAGUUCCUUGGCAAACACAUCACAGAGAACCUCUCUUGGUCUACCACUUCCCACCACAUGGUCAAGAAGGACCAGUAGCAACCGCACUUCCUGAGAAUACUCAGGAAAAACCCCACUAGAGGAAGAAACUGCUGUAGCGCUGCUCCAUCGAAAGCGUUCUGGCAAUCUGCAUAUCACCUUGGUAUGCCACUGCUCAGCAGCGGACAAGAAGGCCUUAAGUGCACAUGUAGUGUGAAUGUAAGGUUAAGCCCCUCUGAGGACUGUACACACUGUUUGCACGGUUUCUAUGCUACCUCAUUGUCACUUUAAGCAUGCACUGGGGAAUGUAUUUGAAUGUGUGUGUGAGGAUGUGGGGAUGUGGGAGGG